rnacentral:misc_RNA from 1 species
GAUGAAGAACGUAGCGAAAUGCGAUAAGUAAUGUGAAUUGCAGAAUUCAGUGAAUCAUCGAAUCUUUGAACGCACAUUGCGCCCGCCAGUAUUCUGGCGGGCAUGCCUGUCCGAGCGUCAUUUCAACCAUCAAGCCCCGGGCUUGUGUUGGGGACCUGCGUCCGACGCAGGCCCUGAAAACCAGUGGCGGGCUCACUGUCCACACCGAGCGUAGUAACUAACCUCGCUAUGGAGUGGCGCGGGCGCCUGCCGUAAAACCCCCACUUUCACAAGGUUGACCUCGGAUCAGGUAGGAAUACCCGCUGAACUUAAGCAUAUCAAUAAGCGGAGGA